UGUACUGGUUGAUUCGAGUAUUCGAAUAGCAUGCUAUACGCGUGUAUGUUGAUCGUCCGAUAAAAAUCGACCGCAAUUUACUGCACGACUUGUUCAUUCAAGAGACUUAUCGAUCGUUGUAGGGUCAACCCAACCCCAGGACUGGCGUAUGUGACGAAGAUAUCAUGGAAAUCAGAAAUGGCAGGAGCGUGUUUCAAAUGUGCGGUUGGAACAGCGGUCAGCAUCUAUACAUAGACUUGGACGAGGACGAUCAGUCCCUGACACUGGACUUCCGAUUACCUAGCAAUCUCCGAUCGAGAAUGUGGGAAAUGAGGGUUGUCCAGUUAGAUUUCGAGCAGCGUGCACCUACCGGCUGCCUCCAAUACUUCCAAGGUUCUAACGGCACCUUAAAAACUUUCAACUUCUUGUCGAACGGAAGAUUUCUGGCCGAUCAAGACUAUCUAAUGUGUAUUCGUCAAGAGAGAGAGAUGUGCGGAAUCUCUUAUACACCCUGUUCGUCCGAUUCCUUUCGAAUCGGUCCUCCUAGGAUGCUAUUGACGAACAAUACGAAUUUGAACGGGUCGUCGAUCGACGAGGGUCCUAAUGCGAAUUCGACUACUCGUAAUACGACCGUCGCAGGAUCUACGAAUGGGACGGAUAUCGAGGGAUCUGGAUCGAAUCCGAUGGAAGAAGGUGGAACCUCUAUGAACAUGAGCAAUACCAUGGAACAGGAAGUCGGUUCGUCGAAUGGAGCGGUUUAUGGACAGGAACGUUGCCGAGACAGGGUGCUCAUUCCCUGCGACUUCGAGGAAUUUAUCACGCCUGGCAACAACGAGGCCGGAAUUUGCAACCUUGAACACUGCGGCAACUCUCUGUGCGAUCGAAACGAGCUGGACGAAGAAGGUAACUGCCGCGUGGAGACCUGGGCAACGCCCUUUCGUAUUAGGGUGGCUUUCGGUCCUGGACAGGACACGGGAACCACUCUCGAGGACAAUAUUGGCAUGUGUCUCGUGUACGAGCAACUACCCUGCGUUGUCUGAAUGGCCUUGGACCGAGAAACGAGUGGAGACGUAUGGGGUAUGACACAAGUUGAGAAUUCACGUGGUAUCCAAAGGUUAAUAUUUGAAGAGGACGAUUUGAUGUUUGCUAUAUCUAGCUAAGCCGGUCAGAAUUUCCUACGAAAUUAAAUUUUUUAAUUUAGAAAGGGAGAAACGUGUUUCAUAAUUCGUACGUUUAUACGCAUCGCGAAAAGAAAACGUCGCAAGCCGCUGAAAUUAAAGUAGAUACCUUCCGCUGUGAGCAAAAAUAUAAGAGGAUCAAAAGAUUCGUGGGCCGACUACUCCAAUUAUAAACCCAAAUAUCUAGCAGCUUGUCGCAGAAAUGGCCAAUUAAGAUUCUGAGACUCCAUCCAGCGUUCUUCAUCCACCGUCAUCCUGGUUUCCUCGCUUUUCGACGAAGAUAUCCUACGGGGACAGCGGUCGUUUUAACCCUCUAUAACGCCGUAGGUAACUUGGGAUAUCUAUAUUCAUCGGACCGUGUUUUGAAAAUGUUAUUUCGUCCGCUGCAACCUUCGUCUAUCGCAAGCAUAUCAAGCUCUGAUUAUAAUAUUUCAUCCGGUUAUAGAGGAUUAAAGAGAACCAUAGACAGAAAUGUACAUCGUUUCAGAAUGAUCGAGAGACACUGAUAUCAAAGAGUUAAAUAGUCUUUAUUUACAAACGAACUAGCUUAAAUCGCAAACGCAGCGCACAACUCUCGAUACAAUAAUAGAUAUAUAAUUCGCUUUUUCAUUUUUUCAAUUUGUUUUCAUUUUCACCUCUAUUCUCUCUCUCUCUCUCUCUCUCUCUCUCUCGCUCUCGCUCUUUUUCUCUUUCGCUCUCUCUCUUUCACUCUCUCGAUCACGCGUCACGAUCGUCGGCCACAUCACGCCACAGUCCAAAUCGCAAACGCAACUUGAGUCUACCCUCCCUCGAGUCCGUUUCUUCGCGGAAAUACCCCCAUUUGUAUUACGUCGUUCUCAAGUAAUUUAUUAUUUCAUCGAUCCUCGUGUUUCUAAACGCCGGCAGAGAAAUGCGUUUCCACCCUCUUGGAACUGGGAAGUUGGAAGUGGCCGACGAUGAUCACGGGAAUCGCAGCGAUAACGAUAAUGAUAUUACAAGAAUAAAUUAUAAUGCUAUUAAAUACAAUAAUGAAGGUGACGUCACGCCGGAAUUUCGAAAGAAACGAUGCUCCGACCAGAACACGGCGUGACGUUACGAGCUCCUCAUCAUCGUCGUGUAUCUAUGUAUGUUCCUCGAUUUAGUCCUCUAUCACCUUUUUUCAUCGUCUCCGUUCUUUCCUUUUCUUCUUCUUUUUUUUUUUGUUCUUUUUCUUUAAAUGUAUAUAACCGUAAUGAUAAGUAAUAAUAAUAACGAGAUUAGCAAUAAUCGUGAUCGAACGACGAUGACUUCCGGUGUCCGGUAGACAAAAACUGUAUUCCGGAGGCCGGAGGUCGUCGACGUCGUCUGGCGUGUGUAAGAAAAGUCGUACCACUAUCUACAAAGUCAAAAAGACCGAUAAAACGUGUAAAAGGGCGGUGGUCAACGAACGUGUGUGCAUAUGUAGGUCUGUGCGUGUGAGUAUGAUUUAGAUAUGUGUGUGUAUGCGUGUGUGUUUGUGUAUGCUUCUUUGUACAGAGUCCUUGGAUACAGCACAUGUCGCUCCCCUGAUACCGUACUGUGCUAACUCGUAGUAAGGUUUUCCUGUACAUUUCUUUCUCCUUUUUCCCCUCUCCCCUUUUUUUCUUCCAUCCUUUCUUUUUUCCCUUUCCUUUAUUAUAUCAUGGGUUACUCUUAUCGGGAACUUGGAUCGAUCCUUCGAAGUCUGGCUUAAUGAAACAAAAAGAAAAAAAGCUCUCCCGUCACUUUCUACUUGUUUAUUUAUUUAUUUAUUUAUUUAUUUAGUUUUUCUUUGAGAGAGUAAGUACUUGAGUUAUUUUAAAGCGUCAUGAUAUGUAUACUAUUUAGAAGAAUCGGCGAAUUGUUUCUUGUUACGAUGUGCUAUCUUUAUCUUCGUUUUAUUCUAGUUUAUCCGUCGUGAUAUUUCGUGCUUUCUGUACUUCCAUUUCGUGGAUUAUCCUUUCUGAUAUCGAUUCAUGGAGGUAGAGGGAUUGAAUCGCUUUGUCGUAGUUGCAACUAUAAACUUUGAUCAGUGAGCUGAUUUUUUAAUUUUGCUUCGUUCAAUGGAUGUUUCGUGUCUUUUUUUUUUUUUUUGUUUCCGUUUUUCAAAUUAUCCUUCGAGAUAUCGAUUUAAUACGAUGAUAAUUGAAUCGUUUUGCGCUUUGAACGACCAACUCUUCGGUAUACUGAUUCGUAAUCUUUCGAAGUUACAUUACAGGCUCGUUCGAUGGAUGUUUAUCUUCCAUUAAAUUUGUUUAAACAUCGUAUACGUUCGAUACUGCGAUUGAUUCGUUGAAUAGCUACUCGAAGUGUGAUGUGUUUGUUCAAUAAAUGUUCGCCGUUUGGUAUGUUUAUUAAACGAACGUUUGCCUUGUAAUCGUAUUUGUUUUCUAGUUCUUUGGUCUCUGUUAUAUUUAUCGAAUAGGCUUCGCUUGAAUUUGUUUACUAUCCAUAUUUAGUUGUACGACUGGAUGCACGUAUGCGUGUUCAGUGUUUAUAUCAUACAUUUCUGUUUAUUCGUUCAGUGAUUUUAAUAAAGUGUAACCUUUUUGAGAAAUAGAUGUAGUAGAUUUAAGCGUCCGAUAUUUAUGUGCUUAUUACUCAUUUGACACAAUGUUCUGUUGUUUUAUGGCUACAGCGACUUUUUAAUGUCGAGACUGCGAAUAAGAGAACGAACAUUAGGUAACAGAAAAAUAUAACUUUUUGGGGACAUUUCAGAUAUCGUCUUUUACGUUUAACUACGAAAAUAGCAUGAUCUUCCUCUUUCGCGCAACGAGAUAUUUUAUCCGGCGAACAUUACUUCGGAGUACUGUGUAGACAGAUUAUGCAUGAAAUCUUGAGAUUAUUAUCGUUUGGUUUGAAUCCUUCCAAAGAAAAUAUGAAAAGUGAAGAACAAACCAAAUUCGUUAAGACGAUUAAAUGCAUGAGAAGUUAGCAAUUUAAUUAGAAGAAUUUGCAAGUUUCAAGAUGAUUUUUAAAACAUUUGAUAUUUUUUCACGACAAACCUUUGCUUACAUUAUUAUACGCGAAUCGUGAUCAAGUACACAUCGACGAGUGAAAAUGUUUCGAUAUUAACUUUUUAUUUACGACACAUCGAUCGAUCUGAUAUUCAGAACUUUUAUGCCCUUUCAGCCAUAUUAUGUAUUACGUAUUACGCUUGAUUUAAAAUAAAAUAAAAUAAAAACACCAUGCACGAGAAUGUAACAAAACCAGGUUUUAUUCUAAAUGUAACGCCGUUAUUCUACUCGAAUUUUCUUUUAUCAUCGAUAUCAUGAUAUUUCUUAAAAUUCCAUAAAAACUAUAACUAUUCUCUUAAAACUUUAUCUUUAACAUCUUAAAUUUUCAUUCUUUACGAGUAUUUCUGUUCAACAUUCAACGUUAAAUAAAUUUGAAUAAUAACCGUAACUGUAGCGUAUUACAGAAAUAAUUUAUUUCUGUGUCCUGAAUUCUGCUUUUUACACAAUGCAUAUAUUACAAUACAAAUAUUUUGUUAACAGUUGGUACUUAUCGCGUUAGAAAAUGAAAUAAUAAGAGCUGUUUCUAAGACUGAAUUGAUUAAAUAUGCCAGUAUAUAUACAUAUAUACCGUGAUAAAUCAACCGGCUCGGUAUUUCAUGCUGGUAACGCGUUUUAAUUGCAAACUCAAAUAAUGGUUCACUUUGUAACAAUUUCGUACCAUUAAAUAUCAGUUAAAUCGAGAUACUUAUUAUAUGGCUUUCAAAUAUUUAAUUUGCGUUGGACGAGAAGUCGAGAGGUAAUUUCAAAUUCAUAAACUUUUAUACAAAAGUAGUACCACGCUAGCGGCAAAUUGAUACUCGUCUCUGCGUGAAAUUCUGUCGCUGGACGAUCAUUUUUUUCUUUCCAUCUGUAGUUUCUUCUUCGAUACAUUUUCUCGCUUUUCAAUAUUCUUUGAACAAUUUUGCUCUGACAAUUAGUAACGGUGUUAAAGAGAAAAACGUCAAUUCGCCUGGAAAAUCUUCCUCGCCAACGCGUACCGUCGCUGUGAUUCACUAUUAAUAUCAGGCAACAGCGGUUUGCACGGAUACAUAUAUACGUUCGCAGAGAUACCUUUUAUUUUCUUUCUGCACAUCCGCAAACGCGUACAAUUCCUUUCAUUUUGUUCUUCUUUUUUUUUUUUUCGUCGACCUUUUCCCUCUUUUUCUACGUAUUUUCUUUCACGCUCUUCCAUUGCUUCCGUCAUUCUGUUCUUCGUUUGCACGCGGCACAUUUUGAAGCACUUUUUCUUUGGAUAAUACCUGGACACUAGUCGACUAUCAAAAAAAAGUUUAACUCAAGUUGCGUUUCCUUUUAACGGGCUUGAAUAAACGCGUACCAGGUUAAAUACUGGAACGAAUGACAACGCGAACCGGUUUCUUUUCCGUCAAUGUAGCGAUGACUGGACAUUUCACGAUGAACAGGAUCUCGUUAUAGCUUUUUUGUUUCACUUUUAGAAUCGUUUCGAUGCGUGCCAUCUCUUUAUCAUAUCAUUACCUUUUAUCAAGACCGAAUAGAGAUCAGCGUUUUUGGAACUGUAAGAAAUUUACCGUUUAAUUGCAAUUAUUAAAGAUUGGUUUUAUCGUUCGCUUCAAUGGGAGCUUCAUCUACUAACAAGAUAAAAUUAACAAUCUAAAAUUAUUUUUCCAUGAUCCUGUCGCGCAGCUCCAACUUCCAUUGUCUACUUUUGUUUGCUCCAAACUCCGAUGUUCCCGUUUCUCGUUAACACAGCCCAAACUCUAGUUUUCCACUUGCGUAACUCAACGUAACUCAAAUUUUUAUGUUCCACUUCCCAUUAAAACAAUCUAUAGUUUCACCUCCAACUUUCUGUUAAUCCAGUUCAAACUUCUAUUUUCCACUGCUCUUUAAUCCAACCAAAACUUCCAUUUUCCACUGCUCUUUAAUCCAACCAAAACUUCCAUUUUCCACUUCUCUUUAAUCCAAACUCCAACUUCCCAUUC